UACAGAGGGGGCAAGCGUUAUUCGGAAUUAUUGGGCGUAAAGGGCGCGUAGGCGGCCUGGCAAGUGGAAGGUGAAAUCCCUCGGCUUAACCGAGGAACUGCCCUCCAAACUGCUUGGCUUGAGACCGGGAGAGGUGAGUGGAAUUCCCAGUGUAGCGGUGAAAUGCGUAGAUAUUGGGAGGAACACCAGUGGCGAAGGCGGCUCACUGGACCGGUACUGACGCUGAGGCGCGAAAGCGUGGGGAGCAACGGGG
rnacentral:rRNA from 1 species